rnacentral:rRNA from 1 species
CGUCAGAGUAGGAAGAUAUAGCGACCGACGGGAGCUUGCUCCCUUAGGUUAGCGGCGGACGGGUGAGAAACACGUGGGUAACCUGCCUGUAAGACUGGGAUAACUCCGGGAAACCGGGGCUAAUACCGGAUGCUUGAUUGAACCGCAUGGUUCAAUUAUAAAAGGUGGCUUUUAGCUACCACUUACAGAUGGACCCGCGGCGCAUUAGCUAGUUGGUGAGGUAACGGCUCACCAAGGCGACGAUGCGUAGCCGACCUGAGAGGGUGAUCGGCCACACUGGGACUGAGACACGGCCCAGACUCCUACGGGAGGCAGCAGUAGGGAAUCUUCCGCAAUGGACGAAAGUCUGACGGAGCAACGCCGCGUGAGUGAUGAAGGUUUUCGGAUCGUAAAACUCUGUUGUUAGGGAAGAACAAGUACCGUUCGAACAGGGCGGUGCCUUGACGGUACCUAACCAGAAAGCCACGGCUAACUACGUGCCAGCAGCCGCGGUAAUACGUAGGUGGCAAGCGUUGUCCGGAAUUAUUGGGCGUAAAGCGCGCGCAGGCGGUUUCUUAAGUCUGAUGUGAAAGCCCCCGGCUCAACCGGGGAGGGUCAUUGGAAACUGGGGAACUUGAGUGCAGAAGAGGAGAGUGGAAUUCCACGUGUAGCGGUGAAAUGCGUAGAGAUGUGGAGGAACACCAGUGGCGAAGGCGACUCUCUGGUCUGUAACUGACGCUGAGGCGCGAAAGCGUGGGGAGCGAACAGGAUUAGAUACCCUGGUAGUCCACGCCGUAAACGAUGAGUGCUAAGUGUUAGACGGUUUCCGCCCUUUAGUGCUGCAGCAAACGCAUUAAGCACUCCGCCUGGGGAGUACGUCGCAAGACUGAAACUCAAAGGAAUUGA